rfam:Streptomyces coelicolor A3(2) complete genome
CUUGAGUGAGCCGAGGUACAGGGGCCGGCCCUCCGCCCGGUCCUGGCCGUACGUCGCCAGCAGUGCCUGGGCCUC